CCGAAUUUCGGGGGGUUAUUACUAGUAUGUAUAAUUGCUCAGUCAUACGACUUAGUUAGGGCGAUCUGUAGUGCAAUUCACUCACUUUUAACGAUACGAUUUGUCGAGGUCUAAUAUAACGGUUUUUGUGGUUUGCAGUAACGUGUGUUUAUUCGGUAACUCUUUUUUAACGACACUAAACAGCUGACAUUUUCUUUUUAUUUCAGUAAAAGGAAGGUGGCAUCUCAACUUAACGAAACGUCAAAAAAUGCGAAAAGCACAAAGAAGAAUGACGAAAAACAAACAAAUUCCUUGCUUGCAAAGUGGUAUACACAUAGUUUUCUGAAUAUUUUAAUAUACUUUUACAAAAAAAUGGCUUCGUCAGUACCCAGUGUUCAAAAGAGAAGCCGGACCACAGCAGAACAACUAAGUCGCAUGGUUUUGUGUACACUACGCUUCUAUGCCACAGGAUGCUACCAACGGCCUGUAGGGGAACAGUGGGGCAUAUCAAUGAGCCAAUCAUCUAUAAGCCGUUGUAUACAUCGCGUAACUGAUGCCAUAAACAGUGGACUAUUUUUUGAGGAGGUUAAGUUCCCUAUGACGCAGGUGGAUCGUCAAGCUGCCAAGGAAGUGUUUGCUUCAGCACCUGCGCCUUUCGUUGGAGGAACUAUUGGAGCGGUAGACUGCUCGCAUGUUUCUAUUUUGGGUCCUAAAACUCAUGAGGAAGCAUACGUGAACCAUCAUGGCUAUCACUCGAUAAAUGUUCAAAUGAAAAUAGUACGAAAGGACAGCAACCAUGGACCGAGGAAAGUGUUGUAUUGUAACAAUACGAAAAGUAUCUAAGGUAUUCAUCCCAAUCGUCCUUAUUAAUGGAUAUGUAGGAACGCACAUAUUCAUUGAAUGUUCUAUGACUGUGUUCAACCGUGCCUAAAGUUUGAUGAUGAUUUAGGAAAUGGUCCAACUGUAUCGGUCUGUACUAUAUCAACAACUUUUGGCGGUGUCUCCGUUAUUGUCAUUGGUUCUUUCAGUAAUAUUUUUGUUUUAUUUUGAUGGUCGUACGAUUGAUUCCUGGGUGACCACAUUUAACAGGAUCUUCGUGAUAUUUGUGAAGAAUAUUUUUAAUUUUUUCAAUAUUUGUCACAUGCAUAACCUCCGGAGUUAAUGCAAUAGUUAAGUUUUUUAGAACUUUGGAACCUAUUUCUUUAAAUUUAUCUACUUGAGUAUAAUUAAACAAUUUGUCUCCUAAGGACAAAGGUAUUUUUACUAGUCCUAAAUUGCCGGCAUUUUUCAUAAGCCAGGUAAAGAAUUGUCCUAAGUAAAUUUCACCUCAACAAUUAGGUUGCUUGUAUCUAUUUCGCUAAAAAUUUUCUUUCCUUUUUGAAACAUAGUUUCGGAGGAUCAAAAACGAGC